rnacentral:sRNA from 1 species
AAGUUGAGUCUUGAACUUACCUAGGUGA